rnacentral:rRNA from 1 species
ACGAACGCUGGCGGCGUGCUUAACACAUGCAAGUCGAACGGUGAAGGUGGAGCUUGCUCUGCUGGAUCAGUGGCGAACGGGUGAGUAACACGUGAGCAAUCUGCCCCGAACUCUGGGAUAACCGCGGGAAACCGUGGCUAAUACUGGAUAUGUCGAGUGACCGCAUGGUCUGCUCGUGGAAAGAUUUUUCGGUUCGGGAUGAGCUCGCGGCCUAUCAGCUUGUUGGUGAGGUAAUGGCUCACCAAGGCGACGACGGGUAGCCGGCCUGAGAGGGUGACCGGCCACACUGGGACUGAGACACGGCCCAGACUCCUACGGGAGGCAGCAGUGGGGAAUAUUGCACAAUGGGCGCAAGCCUGAUGCAGCAACGCCGCGUGAGGGAUGACGGCCUUCGGGUUGUAAACCUCUUUUAGUAGGGAAGAAGCGAAAGUGACGGUACCUGCAGAAAAAGCACCGGCUAACUACGUGCCAGCAGCCGCGGUAAUACGUAGGGUGCAAGCGUUGUCCGGAAUUAUUGGGCGUAAAGAGCUCGUAGGCGGUUUGUCGCGUCUGCUGUGAAAUCCCGAGGCUCAACCUCGGGCCUGCAGUGGGUACGGGCAGACUAGAGUGCGGUAGGGGAGAAUGGAACUCCUGGUGUAGCGGUGGAAUGCGCAGAUAUCAGGAAGAACACCGAUGGCGAAGGCAGUUCUCUGGGCCGUAACUGACGCUGAGGAGCGAAAGCGUGGGGAGCGAACAGGAUUAGAUACCCUGGUAGUCCACGCCGUAAACGUUGGGCGCUAGAUGUGGGGACCAUUCCACGGUUUCCGUGUCGCAGCUAACGCAUUAAGCG